GUGCCCAGAUGGGAUUAGCUUGUUGGUGGGGUAACGGCUCACCAAGGCGACGAUCCCUAGCUGGUCUGAGAGGAUGACCAGCCACACUGGAACUGAGACACGGUCCAGACUCCUACGGGAGGCAGCAGUGGGGAAUAUUGCACAAUGGGCGCAAGCCUGAUGCAGCCAUGCCGCGUGUAUGAAGAAGGCCUUCGGGUUGUAAAGUACUUUCAGCGGGGAGGAAGGGAGUAAAGUUAAUACCUUUGCUCAUUGACGUUACCCGCAGAAGAAGCACCGGCUAACUCCGUGCCAGCAGCCGCGGUAAUACGGAGGGUGCAAGCGUUAAUCGGAAUUACUGGGCGUAAAGCGCACGCAGGCGGUUUGUUAAGUCAGAUGUGAAAUCCCCGGGCUCAACCUGGGAACUGCAUCUGAUACUGGCAAGCUUGAGUCUCGUAGAGGGGGGUAGAAUUCCAGGUGUAGCGGUGAAUGCGUAGAGAUCUGGAGGAAUACCGGUGGCGAAGGCGGCCCCCUGGACGAAGACUGACGCUCAGGUGC
rnacentral:rRNA from 1 species